AAAUUCAUCUCUUUAUGUAAGCUAUAAGUACACAAAGUUUCAUUAAAAUCAGAAUUUAACACCUCGCGAGGUUCUCUUGUUCCGGUGUCUCGAUAGCUUGACUCAUCCUAUGAUUUAUGUAUGACAGCUCUGUCAUAAGGUGCUCGCAAAAUUAACUUGUUUGAAAAGGGUACCAAAUGAAGAUGCUCGCGCGAAUAAACUACUUUUGAAG